rnacentral:rRNA from 1 species
AUGGCUCAGAACGAACGCUGGCGGCGCGUUUAAGCAUGCAAGUCGAGCGGCAAGGGCCUUCGGGCCCUAGAGCGGCGGACGGGUGAGUAACACGUGGACAAUCUGCCCCCGGCCCGGGAUAGCCCAGGGAAACCUGGAUUAAUACCGGAUGAGACGGGACCCGCGAUGGCGGGAUCCGGGAAAGGCGCUGCGGCGCCGCCGGGGGAUGAGUCUGCGUCCCAUUAGCUAGACGGCGGGGUAACGGCCCACCGUGGCGACGAUGGGUAGCCGGCCUGAGAGGGUGGACGGCCACAUUGGAACUGAGACACGGUCCAGACUCCUACGGGAGGCAGCAGCUAAGAAUCUUCCGCAAUGGGCGAAAGCCUGACGGAGCCGACGCCGCGUGAACGAAGAAGGCCGUGAGGUUGUAAAGUUCUUUUCGGGAGGGGGAACAACCGUGGCAGGGAAUGGCCGCGGGAUGACGUGAAUCCCGGAAUAAGCCCCGGCUAACUACGUGCCAGCCGCCGC